UCUCUAUGCAUUUCCUCUUUUAGUCCAAU
rnacentral:piRNA from 1 species